rnacentral:lncRNA from 1 species
CAUUGAGCGCCUGCUGAAUGCUGACUCUGUGGAGCCAAUCGGGACACACUGCUACAGCUUGUGGAGCACAGGCUUCUGGCGAACAGGAGGAUAAUUUCAGAGAGUGCCACGUGCUGAGCAGAGGGGGAGGGUGGAUCUGAGAGAUCUGGAGGAAGAAUAUUCGGAUUGCAGUGGCGGCAAGUGCAAAGGCCCUGAGGCGGGCACACGGUUAAAGUGCUGGAGGCAGAGCGAGGAGGGCAGCGUGACGAGCCGGCAAGAAAGGAGCAGAGGAGCCGGGCCAUUCCCGGCCCGCGAGGUCGUGGUCGUCGUCCGCGGGAGCUCGGAGUCGGCUCCGCUGGUACGGCAGGGAGCUUGCCUGGAGAAGGAGCCAUCCGUCCCCUCACUUCCUCCCCUCCGGCCCUUGCAUUCUGCAGACCCUACUUCACAGGCCCACCUCCUGGCCUUUGCACUAGCCCUUCCUGCCGCCUGCAGCGCGCUUUCUCUGGUUACUAGCCUGGUCAGUUCUGGUCUCCUCCUUCGGCCUUUGGCCGCAGUAUUCCUUCUUCUCCCCACCCCCACUUCUCUUCCUCCUCUCUCUCUCUUCCCUCUUCCCCUCCCCUUCUUCUCCUCCUCCGGCUCUCCCUCCCCUUUCCUCCUCGCCUUCCCUGGCCAUCUCCAGAUUACUGGUUCUGCACUAGCCUUGGUUGGAUUUGUCACUGUUGUGAUAAAAUAAUGCCUAAGUCAUCUGUUGGCAGCCCUCGCCUCCCUCUGAAUCUGCCCUCCCUGCAGACACAGCGGCAGGGGUUCAUG